UGUUGUCCUUACCUUUAAUUCAUUGAAAAAUCUAAAAUGAGAAGAGGAAGAAAAUGAAAAGACAGAAGCACCCCAACCCUGUAGAGGUCAUAUGCUCUUACUUUUUUAUAUAAGAAGAAAAACGCGUUUGACCUGACCUUGUAGACUUCGUCGACUAUCUCACUUUGCAAAAACUCUGCCACAAACCCAAACCCAAAGCACCAAACUUUGUUCGAGCCAUCUCUCUCUCUCUCUCUCUCUCCCUACCCUAACCCCACGUUGCAUUUGCCUGGCCUAACAUUCAUUUCUGCUUUCUGUGCUUCUCUCAGCACAGUAUUUCCAUCUUCUUCUCCACCUGCCAAGCCCCCAAAAACCAGUGCAGAGGCCAAACCAGGAAGACCCAUUUGUCUUCUUUUGAUCUAAUCUCUGUUCUUUGACAACCCCAACUUCAUCAAACACCUUGGUGUCUUGGUCCGCCGUGCCAGCCAUGGCGGACAUAGUGAAGCAAAUCUUGGCAAAGCCGAUCCAACUAGCUGACCAAGUCACGAAGGCUGCAGAGGAGGCCAGUUCGUCCAAGCAGGAGUGCUUCGAGCUCAAAUCCAAGACCGAGAAGCUCGCACUGCUUCUCCGGCAAGCCGCUCGGGCCAGCUCCGACCUCUACGAGCGCCCAACUCGCCGGAUCAUCGACGAGACUGAGCAAGUGCUCGUCAAAGCGCUGUCCCUGGUGCUCAAAUGCCGCGCCAACGGCAUCAUGAAGAGAGUCUUCACCAUCAUCCCAGCCGCCCAGUUCCGGAAAAUGUCGUCGCAGCUCGAAAAUUCCAUCGGAGACCAUCGGCCCCGGCCGAUACCCGGGAAGAUGGGUACCUUGGGCUGCCUCCGAUCGCCGCAAACGAGCCAAUUCUGUGCCUAAUUUGGGAGCAGAUUGCAAUUCUGCACACUGGGUCAGUUGACGAUCGAUCUGAUGCAGCAGCUUCGCUUGUUUCGCUUGCCAAGGACAAUGAUCGAUACGGAAAGUUGAUAAUUGAGGAAGGUGGAGUUGGACCCUUGUUGAAAUUAAUCAAGGAGGGUAAAAUGGAAGGCCAAGAGCACGCUGCUGAGGCCCUUGGAUUGCUGGGACGUGACCCGGAAAGCGUAGAACACAUGAUCCUUGCCGGGGUGUGUUCGGUGUUUGCGAAGAUCCUGAAAGAAGGUCCGAUGAGAGUUCAGGCCAUGGUGGCCCGGGCCAUCUCGGAGCUUGCAGCUCAUUACCCCAAAUGCCAGGAUCUUUUUGCGCAGCACAAUAUCAUCCGGUUGUUGGUUAGCCAUCUUGCGUUCGAAACUGUUCAGGAGCAUAGUAAGUAUGCUAUUACUUUCAACAAAGCCACAUCGAUCCAUGCGGUUGUGGUGGCUACAAACAACUCCAAUGCAAAUUAUAUUCCGAACAGGGCGAGUGACGAGGAUGAGAAGCAGGGUUACCGUCACAUUCCUCAUCCGUUGGGCAAUCGAAUCUCGAGUCAGAUGCACAAUGUGGUUACUAGCACCAUGGCAAUGCAGGCCGGGUUGAAGCCUCCUCUCCAACAAGUAGUUAACGGAGUGAAUCAAGCCAAUCAAGCCAAUCAAGCCAAAAGCAAUGGCAACAGCAACAGCAAUGCAAAGCAGAAUCAUCAGUACCAACAAUCCCCUCACCAUCAUCAGCAUAAUCAUUCAGGGACUAGCAUUAAGGGGAGGGAAUCGGAAGACCCUGCCACCAAGGCCAACAUGAAAGCAAUGGCAGCAAGAGCUCUUUGGCAGCUUGCCAAAGGGAACUCGGCCAUUUGCCGUAGCAUCACGGAAUCAAGGGCACUGUUGUGUUUUGCAGUGCUCCUGGAACUGGAAAAGGGCUCUGAAGAUGUUCAACUCAAUUCUGCCAUGGCAUUAAUGGAGAUCACGGCAGUGGCAGAGAAGGAUGCUGAGUUGAGAAGAUCUGCCUUCAAGCCUAAUUCUCCGGCUUGCAAGUCUGUGGUUGAUCAAUUACAAAAGAUUACUGAAAAGGCUGAUGCAGAUUUAGACCUCCUGAUUCCAUGCAUCAAAGCUGUUGGGAAUUUGGCAAGGACAUUUCGGGCAACUGAGACAAGGAUGAUUGGCCCAUUGGUGCGGCUUCUUGACGAAAGAGAAGCUGAGGUUACCAGGGAGGCUGCCAUUGCCCUCACAAAAUUUGCAUGUACAGAGAACUAUCUCCAUCUUGACCAUUCCAAGGCAAUAAUAAGUGAAGGAGGUGCCAAGCACUUGAUCCAGCUUGUGUAUUUUGGGGAGCAAAUUGUUCAGAUUCCUGCCUUAGUUCUCAUGUGCUACAUUGCACUUCAUGUACCAGACAGUGAAGAACUUGCCCAGGCUGAGGUGCUCACCGUUCUUGAAUGGGCAUCCAAGCAAUCCUAUAUGACCCAAGACGAAGCACUGGAAACAUUGUUACAAGAAGCUAAGAGUAGGUUGGAUCUUUAUCAGUCCAAGGGCUCAAAAUACCAAUGCCAUUGAUUUUAUCAGAAGGCAGAGCGGUUUCGUAUUCCUUGAAAAGAGAAAAGAUGUCCUUCUUUUGUUUAUGUUUUAUCGUUGUCAAGGAGUGUACAUACUAUGUAAUUUACAACUUUCUCAGUCAAAUGAAUAUCUUCUUCUUUGAUUU